GUGCCAGCAGCCGCGGUAAGACAGAGGGUGCGAACGUUGUUCGGAAUUACUGGGCGUAAAGCGCGUGUAGGCUGUUCGGAAAGUCGGGUGUGAAAGCCCUGGGCUCAACCUAGGAAGUGCACUCGAAACUCCCGAACUGGAGUCCCGGAGAGGAAGGCGGAAUUCUCGGUGUAGAGGUGAAAUUCGUAGAUAUCGAGAGGAACAUCGGUGGCGAAGGCGGCCUUCUGGACGGUGACUGACGCUGAGACGCGAAAGCGUGGGGAGCAAACAGGAUUAGAUACCCUGGUAGUCC
rnacentral:rRNA from 1 species